rnacentral:rRNA from 1 species
AUUGAACGCUGGCGGCAGGCCUAACACAUGCAAGUCGAACGAGUGGCGGACGUGUGAGUAAUGACUGGGCAAGUGCCUGAUGGAGGGGGAUAACUACUGGACACUGUAGCUACUUCCGCACACAAUCACCUGGGCCCAGGUGGUAGUAGCUAGUUGGUGGGGUAUAGGCUCACCAAGGCGACGAUCCCUAGCUGGUCUGAGAGGAUGACCAGCCCCACGGGAACUGAGACACGGUCCAGACUCCUACGGGAGGCAGCAGUGGGGAAGAUUGGACAAUGGGCGCAAGCCUGAUGCAGCCAUGCCGCGUGUAUGAAGAAGGUCUUCGGGUUGUAAAGUACUUUAAGCGGGGAGGCGUUACCAGCAGAAGAAGCACCGGCUAACUCCGUGCCAGCAGCCGCGGUAAUAC